rnacentral:tRNA from 1 species
CAGUAAGUAGUUUAAUAAAAAUAUUAAUUUUGGAGAUUAAUGAUAGGAUCAUUCUUCUUACUGA